AUGGUACUUACACCGUCUCUCGUCUCGAGCUUCUCGCUCACAACCAAUCACGUUCUUCUGGAGGUCACUAGUUCUUAAUUGAUUUCAGCUGCGUCUCCCCCGCCUCUCCUCAUAAAGCGCCCCCACCGUGACGGAUGUUAAUCGUUUAUUUUGCGUUGGAUUGCGUGGGCUGAACAAUCCGGACAUCGUGGCCACCGACGUGGACCCCCGCCACCGGGACUCACGCACACCGACCACCACACUGGGAAGUGUCCUCUGCUCACAGUGGAAGCAGCAUGGAAGAACUGCAGCAACUCUGAUGGAAACGAGGACCUCCACGCUGUUGAACACAAACUGUUCUAGGCCUACUACAAACCGAGGCGGUCCCACUCGGUUAAAGAUCUCGUGGUCAAUGCGGCAGACCGCUGGACCUGGACGUCACCUUCUGCAGAUACUUCGCUGCCCUCAGGAAUCCACGGAUAACUUGAAACAUGUCCGACUCCACAUGUCCGAAAAAUCCAGAAUGGAAACUCGUGGAAGGAAGAAAGGGGGCUGUUUUUGCUCAAACCAUAACCCCACUGAGCCCUUCUGUGGAAACCUGUCUGACUGACCCUACUGACUGGGGGCCUAUUGAUGUGUGUUUGGUUGGUCUGGUAGGUUUGCUGCUUGUGAUCUGCAAGGUGGUCCUGGGUUAGAUGCGGUGUCUGACUUGCACACCACUCUCCCAAUUCUAUUCUCUUUACUACUUUUCUACUUUCAAUACACUUGCUGCUGCUGCUGUUGACCGCUGGUGGUGCAAUGUGGUUUUUAUUCGCGUAUGUUCUGUGGACUUUGCAUUUGUAUUUUAAUGAACAUGUUUACUGCCUGUUAGACCUCGGAUUGGCAAACCUAAACUCCUUCACUGGCAAAAUGUAGAUGCAAAUUAAAUGCCAAAAUUAACAUUUCAA